UUAAGAUUUAAUAAUAUUAAUUAUAGUUUAAUUGUAUAGUAAUAGAAAGUUGAAAUAGAUGAAAUAUAAAUAUAUGUAAAGAAAAUUUUAUUUAUUGUACCUUGUGUAUCAGGGUUUAUUAAAUAAAAAAUAAUUAUUUAUUUUUCUCGAUUUAAAGAGGUCAAUUAAUUUAUAUAAUUUAAUGUAAUAUAAUUAUUAAAAAUAAAUUAAUAGAAAUUAAAAAUUAUUCGUUCUUUAAUAUAUCUAGUUUUUUAAGAAAUAAAUUUAAUUUAUAUAUUUAAAAUUAAAUUAAUUAUUUAUUUUAAUUAAUUUAUGUAUUUUAAAUAUAAAUUUAUUUAGGGAUAAGCUUAAAUAAAAAUAAUUAAAAAUAAUUUUAAAUUUUAAAAUUAAAUAUAAUCUUAGAAUUAGUUAUUAUUAAUAAAUAUGUAAUAAUUUAUUAAUUUAAAAUAAUUAUUUAAUAGAUUUUAAUUUUUUAUUAAAUUAUUGGUUUUAAUGAAUUAAAAUAAUAUAUAAUGAUAAAAUUAGUAUAAUAAUUAUAUAAAAAUAAUUAUAUUUAUAAGUUAAAUAUUUUUUUAAAUAAUUCGGCAAAUACAAUGUUCACCUGUUUAUCAAAAACAUGUCUUUUAGUAAUUUAUUAAAAGUCUAACCUGCCCAUUGAUUAAAUUAAAAGGCUGCGGUAUUUUGACCGUACAAAGGUAGCAUAAUCAUUAGUUUUUUAAUUGGAAACUUGUAUGAAUGGUUGAAUGAGGCAUUAACUUUUUUAAAAAAAAAAUUGAAUUUUACUUUUUAAUUAAAAGGUUAAAAUAUUAUUAAAAGACGAGAAGACCCUAUAGAGUUUUAUAUUUUUUUUUUAUAUUUAUAUUGAUAAAGAUUAAUAACUAUUAUAUAAUAAAAUUUAUUUUAUUGGGGUGAUAAUAAAAUUUAAUGAACUUUUAUUUAUAAUUUUACAUUAAUAUAUGAAAAAUUGAUCCAUUAAUAAUGAUUAUAAGUUUAAGUUACCUUAGGGAUAACAGCGUAAUUUUUUUUUAAGUUCUUAUUAAUAAGAAAGUUUGCGACCUCGAUGUUGGAUUAAGAUUAAUUUUAGGUGCAGAAGCUUAAAAUUUAAGUCUGUUCGACUUUUAAAUUCUUACAUGAUCUGAGUUCAAACCGGUGUAAGCCAGGUUGGUUUCUAUCUUUAAUUUAAAUUUAUAUUUUAGUACGAAAGGACCAUAUAUAUUAUAAAAUUAUUUAUAUUAUUAAAAAUUGAAUA
rnacentral:rRNA from 1 species